rnacentral:rRNA from 1 species
GAUGAACGCUGGCGGCGUGCCUAAUACAUGCGAGUCGAGCGAACAGACGAGGAGCUUGCUCCUCUGACGUUAGCGGCGGACGGGUGAGUAACACGUGGAUAACCUACCUAUAAGACUGGGAUAACUUCGGGAAACCGGAGCUAAUACCGGAUAAUAUAUUGAACCGCAUGGUUCAAUAGUGAAAGACGGUUUUGCUGUCACUUAUAGAUGGAUCCGCGCCGCAUUAGCUAGUUGGUAAGGUAACGGCUUACCAAGGCAACGAUGCGUAGCCGACCUGAGAGGGUGAUCGGCCACACUGGAACUGAGACACGGUCCAGACUCCUACGGGAGGCAGCAGUAGGGAAUCUUCCGCAAUGGGCGAAAGCCUGACGGAGCAACGCCGCGUGAGUGAUGAAGGUCUUCGGAUCGUAAAACUCUGUUAUUAGGGAAGAACAAAUGUGUAAGUAACUAUGCACGUCUUGACGGUACCUAAUCAGAAAGCCACGGCUAACUACGUG